rnacentral:rRNA from 1 species
AUGCAGAGGCGGAGGUCGGGAUUCCACCAUGUGGAAGAGACAGAGAACAAUGUAGUGCGCAGCCUGUUCUGGACAGAUUCCUUGUGUAAGAUGAAUUAUGAUCUAUAUGGAGAUUUCGUGUCUUUUGACACCACAUUCUCUACGAAUAUAUAUGGCUUGCCAUUUGCACCAAUUAUAGGCGUCGACAACCACGGGUCGACCGUCCUGUUUGGAGUAGGCCUUUUGAAGGAUGAGAAAAUAGGGUCAUUCAAGUGGCUCCUAAGCACGUUUGUCGAGGCAAUGGGAGGUAAAGAGCCGAAAUACAUAAUAACAGACCAGGACCAGGCGAUAAAGAAUGCAAUAAAGGAAGCUCUUCCGAGGACGAGGCACAGGUUCUGCUGGUGGCAUAUUAGGAAGAACCUGAAGGAAAAUAACGUAGCAGUGUUUGCACAGCACCCAGGGAUGUCUGAUGAUAUAUUUCGAAUCGUCAAAAACUCACUAGAUCAAGACGAGUUUGAGCGUGCCUGGAAAGCAGCAAUUUCUCUGCACAAGGUGGAAGGCAACAAACACCUGAACACGCUAUGGGAACUCCGAAAUUUUUGGGUGCCGGCCUACUUCAAGGACUGUUUCUAUCCUUUCUCGUCAACAACCACUCACAGUGAGAGCACGAAUUCGAUGUGGAAGAAUUACGUCGACCACAAGGACACUAUAAAAAGGUUUGUUAAUGCGUAUCGCACGGUUCAGCAAAAUUGCCUCGCCACGCUUGACAAGAAAAGACACCGAACAGAAGAGAAGGCGCCAUCACUAGAGACGGGUUUUCUGAUUGAAAGACAAGCAAGUCAAGUAUACACGAAUGAAAUUUUCAGGAAAUUCCAGCUGGAGCUACGGAACUGGACUUACUUCAAGUGCUCUGACCUGGCAAAGGGGAGGCAGUAUUUAAAAAAAAGAUUAUUGAGCCUGGACAAAAAGUGUGGAAACCAUAUCCAGGCGAGAAAUUUGACAGGUCUGAGUUCAGGGUAG